UCUAAGUAUAACCUGCCAGACAGGGAAACUGCGUACGGCUCAUUACACCAGCCUUAAUUUACUUGACCUUGACCACCUACUUGGAUAACUGUGGUNAUUCUAGAGCUAAUACAUGCACCAAAGCUCCGAUCCUCGCGGAGAGGAGCGCAUUUGUUCGCCACAAAACCAAGCGCCCAUCUGGGCGUCCAGUGCUGAACCAGAACAACUCAGCUGAUCGCACGGUCUUGUACCGGCGACGUGUCUUUCAAGUGUCUGCCUUAUCAACUUUCGAUGGUAGUGUACCUGACUACCAUGGUUGUGACGGGUAACGGAGGAUAAGGGUUCGACUCCGGAGAAGGGGCCUGAGAAAUGGCCACUACGUCUAAGGAUGGCAGCAGGCGCGCAAAUUACCCACUCUCAACGCGAGGAGGUAGUGACGAGAAAUAACGAGACCGUUCUCAUACGAGGCCGGUUAUUGGAAUGGGUACAAUUUAAA
rnacentral:rRNA from 1 species